rnacentral:rRNA from 1 species
CCAGACUCCUACGGGAGGCAGCAGUGGGGAAUAUUGCACAAUGGGGGAAACCCUGAUGCAGCAACGCCGCGUGAGUGAAGAAGUAUUUCGGUAUGUAAAGCUCUAUCAGCAGGGAAGAAAAUGACGGUACCUGAGUAAGAAGCCCCGGCUAACUACGUGCCAGCAGCCGCGGUAAUACGUAGGGGGCAAGCGUUAUCCGGAUUUACUGGGUGUAAAGGGAGCGUAGACGGCGAUGCAAGUCUGAAGUGAAAGCCCGGGGCUCAACCCCGGGACUGCUUUGGAAACUGUAUGGCUGGAGUGCGGGAGGGGCAGGCGGAAUUCCUGGUGUAGCGGUGAAAUGCGUAGAUAUCAGGAGGAACACCGGCGGCGAAGGCGGCCUGCUGGACCGCGACUGACGUUGAGGCUCGAAAGCGUGGGGAGCAAACAGGAUUAGAUACCCGUGUA